UACGAAGGGGGCUAGCGUUGCUCGGAAUCACUGGGCGUAAAGGGUGCGUAGGCGGGUCUUUAAGUCAGGGGUGAAAUCCUGGAGCUCAACUUCGGAACUGCCUUUGAUACAGCACGUCUUGAGUCCGAUAGAGGUGGGUGGAAUUCCUAGUGUAGAGGUGAAAUUCGUAGAUAUUAGGAAGAACACCGGUGGCGAAGGCGGCCCACUGGAUCGGUACUGACGCUGAGGUGCGAAAGCGUGGGGAGCAAACAGG
rnacentral:rRNA from 1 species